CCUGAUCGGGUCAGGCUUGCCCUGCGGCACUAGGGAUUAGCUCUUCUGAACAGCCCCACCUCUUCUUUCUGGAGUUGCCAGUUUCCUGCCCAACCCAGGGGCCGCAUGUAUUCAGGAGGCGCCCGAACUGCUUUGGGUGAGGCUAAAACGCUGAGAAAAUUCCGGCUAGAGAAGUACUUCUGGUCAGAGGGAGAGUUGAAUAUAGGCAGGAAAUUGACCAGAUACAUUUUCAGAGAUCUCCAAGUCCAGCACCCGGGGCAUCUGGGAACAGGGCUUCUGCCAGCCCAGCCGCAAGUUACAUUUGGCGGGAAUUGCAUUUGCCUUCACCUGGGGUUGUGUGUGUGUGUGUGUGUGUGUGUGUGUGUGUGUGUGUGUGUAGGGGGGGAGGGCGAUGGAAAAAAGCUGGAAGAGGGGCAUCCUAAAAUGGGGUAGGAGUAGGGAACAGGAGGCGAGAGGCCAGGGGAGGGGGCGCCGGGGAGCGCCCUGACCUCGAGGGCUGUCGAGAGGCGGAGAGGAUGGGGGUUGGGGGAGAAGAGGGGAGCCUGGCAGCCAAUGGGAGGGAGGAUCUCGUUUCAAAAGGGUUAACACACAGCCAAUGAGAGCCUGGGGGAGCGGAUCCUGCUCACUCCAUUCAAGAAUCCCAAGUAUUCAAGAUGGACGGCAGGGAGUGUGGAAGGAGAAAGGGGGCGCGGGGGGAAGAGCCAGAUCUGUAGAGGAGAGGAGCGCCGCAGCCAGCUUAUCCUGGAGCCUCGGUCCUGGCCGGCGGGUAGAGGGGCGGCCGGCGAGGACUCGAGCCUGGCGGGGGAAGAGAGGCUAGCGGGAUACGAGAGGGCGUGAGAAGGGGAGCGAGGCCAGAAAAGAGAGCCAAAAGGGAGGGAAAAGCAGAGAAAGAGCCCGGGAAGAAGGAGGUGGCGGGCAGAGGAACCUAAGAAGAGCGAUGUGCUGGGCCCCAUUCCUGCUGCUCUGGCGGGCUGGGGCCGGAAGAUGGUGGCCAAUGAGGAGGGGGAGUGGAGAGAACUUGAGCCAGGCCCUCCCCUCCCCCAUUUCCUCCUCUGUUUCUACACCCGCUUCUGGAAGGAGCUGGGGGAUGGCUCCUAGGCCCAAGGUGGGGGAGGGGUCCUGCUGGCUGUUGAAUUGCUGGUCUCCCCUCAGGAAUGAGUUAGGCACGUGAGCUCCAAGGGACUCGGUGUCUCAGCUGCGUAUCCCUUCGCUCCCUAAGGAAAGAUCUGGGAACUCCUUGAUGAAGAAUCUUCUUUGGCUACCGUGAAGCUUACUGGGUAGUCUUGUCUUUGUCCCUCUGCCCCAUGUUGGUCUGGUCCUGUUCCCAACUGGCUUGCCCAACUCCAGGAGCAGAGAGGCCUGGCGACUGACCCAAGCUGGGCCUUGGUUUCUGUCCAUUAGAACUGUGCAAACUGUGGGGCAGGGCCCAGUGUUUGCUGAUUACAAGAAUAAACUGCCUGGGAAGGCGGGAAAGACACUCUCCUGCUUCCUGAGAGGGUGGGAGGAGGCUGGAGGGGGAAGCACAGAGGAAGAGCUCCCAAAUGAAAUUCAGGCCUCCAUUUUUCCUGCUUGUUGCAAUGGGGGUGGGGGGUGGUCUCCCUGAGGCUACUCCAUGGUCUGAAUGGAUCUCCACAGGGAGGAGCCUUGCAGUCUCUGUCCCUUAGGUUAGAGCUGUAACUGGCUUCUGACCAGUAUGCUUAGCUGCUGUGUGACUCUAGAGGCCUGCAUGGCUCUGAGCCUUGGGUUUCAAGUGCACCUGGCUUUGGAAUUUUAUCAGUCUCUAUUGUCCUCAAUGAAAUUAAGGGGGAUGGCCUGGGGUCAUGGAAAUGAGUGUGAAGACUCCACUACUAAACCCUUGGGAUAGACAGGAACCGGUGGCUUCUAAGCCCAGUGUCAAUGAGAGCUUAUCCUUAACUCAAGAGCCAAAUCACUGGCCAUUUCGCUUAAUACCAUAUCCAUAGAGUACUUUGAAGACAUCAGAAAGGAAACAGUGGGGUUUCAGUUGCUUGCACCUCCAGAUCUGGGAGCUUCUUUCUCCUGCCUAAGCACCUGUAGUUAGGUUCCAUUAUUCUAGACCUGGAGGUCACCUGAGAUCAUCACCUUGAGACCUCCAAGGUUUCUUUCUUUCUUUUUUUUUUUUUCUUUUCAAAAAUUAAGAAGUUAGCAUUAGUCUGGAGAUGAGUGAAAGGCUCUGCCUGAAAGGUUGCAGGCAGAGAGCAACCUCCCCUACUACCACCACCACCACAACACAACCAGUUAUUUCCUUUGAGAAGUGUCAAAUGAUGGGACUCCCACAGGCGGUCUCACUUGGCUCUGCACCACCACCCCUCAAGAAAAAGGUGAUCUUUGCUGGGAAGGAAAUGAGGACGAGGGACGAGAGGAAGGCCGUGACGUGAGCUGAGUGUGGCCAGGGACUGGGAGAAAGGGUGAGGAGGCGGGCCGGCAUGCCUUUGCUGCUGGCCGGAGCUCUUUUCACAUUGUGCUACUGUCUAACGUGUACCGAGCAGUGCAAUGUUAAAAGGGCAUCGGCCUUGUAGUACUACCCAGUGCCGGCAGCCUCCUCAGCAUCACUGCAUUUUCUCCCACCUGAGCACCAGUCAGCUACUCUGCUGGCAAUUUGGAUAUAUGGAGCCCUCCCUUAGAUGAGGAAGCUAAGGCUGUAGAGCUCCUAAGUUAACUGCUCUAUCCUGAGCCCAACAGGAAGGCACCCAUUUUUGUAGACCUGUCCAGAGAGAUUUGAACUGAGGGGGUGAAUGGUUUUGAUGCCACCUGCUGGUUAUGUGAGGAUAUCAUCUGAAGUCUUCAGCUUUUAAGAAUAAACUCCGCCGCCACACCCCCCACACCCCUGCCCCGCCAAGGGGCAGCUCCUUAAAUGAAGGUCUGAGUUUUCAGGUGAAGCUUGGGAUGGGCAGAUGGUGAAGUAUGGGAGAAAAUUUGUGAGGCCCACAGAAGGCCUCUGGGGAUAGGGUGCACUGAAAAGGAAAGGGGCUAACAAGAAAGGACAGAUGCCUAGGCAAAGGGGCUUCGGUGUCCCUCCUGUCCUCUACGGCUCUUCCUUGCAUCUUCCAUGUAGGAAGGAGGUCUCCUCUUCACUCAGUUUUCAGCAUGACACUCUCCUGACCACUCACUUGCUUGUGAUGGUUCUUGAAGGCCUGGUCACCCAGGAUUCGGUCAGCACUAGUUAGAAUCUUAAGUGGUGCCCAGAGUCUUCUCGUGCUCCACAACCACACCAUUGACUUUUCUGUCUUUCACAGGGCUCUCCUUGAGCAGAUUUUAAAGCUUGCUCUGAUGCAGCAAGUGGGGCCAAAGGAUGGAAUUGGGUACCUACUAGAAUUUAAGGAAAGAAGACACUGUGGGUCAGACACUCCUAUGGUCCCAGCACUCAGGCUUCUGGCUUGUUGGCCCUUCUGUGUCUGCUGGUUCUUUGUCCUUUCUACAGUCUCUCGAUUCUGAUGCUAACAGCACAGGUGGCUCUAGGCUGGAGAGAUGGCUCAGCGGUUAAAAGCACAGCUAUGCUCUUGCAGAGGUCCUGAGUUCAAUUCCCAGCAACCACAGGGUGGUUCACAACUAUCUAUAAAGGGAUCGGAUGCCCUCUUCUGGUGUGUCUGAAGACAGUGACAGUGUAGUCACACUACAGAUAGCUCUAAAUCCAUUACUUCAGUCUAAGUAAUCUGAGCCUCCCUGGGUAGAGUGGUGCACACCUUUAAUCCCGGUACUGAAGAGGGAGGUAAAACUGAGUUCAAGAUUCGCAUGAUCUUUAUAGGAAGUUUCAGGCAAGCCAGAGCUAAGUAGUGAAACUAUGGCAACCCUCCCUCCCUUGCACAGCAUGAGAAAGUACUGAGCUUGAUCCCAAACACAAGGGAUCCACGGGCCAGAUGCGGCAGAACACGCCUAUAAUCUCAGAAAUAAUAAGUAAUUAGAAACUGGAGGUAGGAUUAGAAAGUCAUACCGCAAGUUAGAAGGCCAGCCUAGGCUACAUAAGACUAUUUCAGAAUAACAGUAGUUUGCCCAUGCUUUCCCAGUGUCCUUGAGAUGCAGUCCCAAUCCUCUGAGGUUUACAGCUCUUCCCCUUUCUCCCAUUUUAAUCUCAUGUCUCAUCCUCUUGCACUUCUGUUCCAGCCUCAAAAAAAAAAAAAGUUUCCUCAAAUGAGCCCAGCUUGUGCCACACCACACAGUUCUGUCUGAAAUUCUCUCUCAUCUUGUCCUUUUUCUGCCCAUCUUUCCAACAUGGUCUCUCUUCUGGGAAGCCAUCCCUGACACCUCAGGUCUAGGGAGCUAGUCUGGACUAGAGCCCAUAUUAUCUUCUGUUGGGAUUAAUUAGGUUCUUUCUGGCCACUAGAUUCAGAGUUCCAAAAAGUCUGCCCAUGGCUGGCUUGCUCUCCACGCAUCCCCAGAGUUCAGAACAACGCCUGGCAAUUAAUACACACCUACAAUGUAACAAAUGGCUUUUUACCAUAAAUAUAGUCUUGCUCUAUAGGGGCUGGGCCUCUCCAAUUUCACAUCAGUGCACUCCAGCCAUGUUCCUCACAUCACACUUUUCUGUUGAUGCUAUACUUUAGAUCAACUGCCAGCAGCAUCCCGCCCCAUAGAUUUUCAUUUUAGCCUCAAGGGUAUCCAUGAAUUAAGACAUCUUAGGACACCCUCCUCCUCCAAAUAAUUGAUACACAAGAAAACACUAAACUGUGGAGUAAGUUUACCCUAGUUGCACAUCCUGAAUCUGAUAAAAAGUAGCCUCACUGGGGAGGGCCCAGGGGACUGAAGACACUUAGAUAUUCCUUCCCUUUGGACAAGCUCACAAAACCCACGCCUCUUGGUUCACCUGGAUGCUUACCGCUUGUGAAACAGGUGGAGGAGGAUCUUGCCACAAACAAAGCAACUGCUGCCUCCUACUGGUUUAAAAGGGGUGGGGUGACCCUUCCUUGCUUGUGUGCAUACGGAGGACAGUACAAGGUCCGCACCUAAGGAAGGAAAGCCAGGACAACCACCUCACAGUUGCUUUUCCCCUUUUUAUUAAAAAUAGACCCAAAACACUUUAUGUAUCAUACAAAAGUUUCGUUCGCUGGUGGCAGUCACAGGAAAGACUGGUCCCUCAGCGCUGAUGAUCCGCCUCCUCCAGAGGGCGGGGACCUCGGGAGCAGUGGCUGAGCCUUGGGGAAUGCCUGUAAAGACUGCUCUCUCUGGCAACAGCCGGCUAGGGGUGGGGGCUGUUCUUGGAGCAGCUUUUCCCACCCCACCCAAUGGCAAAGAUUAGAUACUUGAAAGUGCCUCUUUAGUGCUAAGGUAAACAGUGGAGUGAAAUGGAAACCCCUGUCACUGAUUCCCAGGGUCUAGGGUUUGGUUUUCCUUCUAUUGGCCCCAUCCGAUCCUUUAUUUUUUUUAAACCAAGAAUGGGGGGUGGAUAAACUACCCUCAGACUCUGGGGCCCUGAUAUCUGAGACCAGAAUUUCACUCCAUCUUUGCUUUUCUGUGGUCUAGCCCCACCACCAAUGUUUGUCCUGUUUAUUCAAAAAAAAAAAAAAAAAA